AUCUGUAUUUGAAUCUGGCCACAAACAUGAGUAACAAACACUGCAGCCAAACCAUAUGCAACCGUGGUGAUGCUAUACAUAAUCAUAGCAGCGAAGCAGUGAAGAAAGAACACGAUUUCAUAGUCUUAUCCGUGGACAAGAAUUGCGCCACCGUGUGAUAGGACAUUCCACCUGUAUAUAUGAAAACGGCACACAUGGUAAUAAGCUUUCUGCUAAUGCCUGCGUAUUUUAACAUAAUCUGCCGAUGACUCGGAUCCUGCACUCUCUUCCAGUCAUUUUUGAGCUGUCGGAUGCACCUCUGCAGGAAGGCUCCUUUUAGGGCAAGGUAACUGUACUUAACUGUGGCAAAUACACAGAAGCCAACUGGACCGAGCAUUUUCACCUUCAUGUAAAGAUUUUUCUCUACGAAAAAGAAGUGAUGGCCAGAUGGUAAGAUGAUGAAGAAUAUGCUGCAGAAGCAUAUGAUCAUAACUACGACUGAGAGGAGCUGUUCCAGUUUGCUCGUGUGAUCGUUAACGAGGGGCCACACUCCAAUCAGUUUCAACAGCCAUUGACACAUCUGCAGCGUGUAAUGUAUGUCGUUCUGGUAA
rnacentral:misc_RNA from 1 species